ACCCUCUGUCAAUGGACAAAGAGACUGCUUGCUGCUGGUGGUGUUCUUAUUAUCAGCCAGGGUCAGAGCAGAUGGCAAUCCUUUGUUCAUCCUAGCUUGAUGCCUGGCUUGGUGGCCAAAGCUGUUUCAUACCUAGGACUCAGAA